CAGCUAGUUGGUGAGGUAAAAGCCCACCAAGGCACCGAUCGGUAGCUGGUUUGAGAGAACGACCAGCCACACUGGGACUGAGACACGGCCCAGACUCCUACGGGAGGCAGCAGUAGGGAAUCUUGGACAAUGGGGGAAACCCUGAUCCAGCCAUGCCGCGUGAGUGAUGAAGGCCUUCGGGUUGUAAAACUCUUUCGGCGGGGACGAUAAUGACGGUACCCGCAGAAGAAGCUCCGGCUAACUUCGUGCCAGCAGCCGCGGUAAUACGAAGGGGGCUAGCGUUGUUCGGAAUUACUGGGCGUAAAGCGCGCGCAGGCGGCCUUUCAAGUCAGGGGUGAAAGCCCGGAGCUCAACUCCGGAAUUGCCUUUGAAACUGUCAGGCUCGAGUACGGGAGAGGUGAGUGGAAUUCCCAGUGUAGAGGUGAAAUUCGUAGAUAUUGGGAAGAACACCGGUGGCGAAGGCGGCUCACUGGCCCGUUUCUGACGCUCAGGCGCGACAGCGUGGGGAUCAAACAGGAUUAGA
rnacentral:rRNA from 1 species